CAUUAGGGGACUGAAAA
rnacentral:tRNA from 1 species